AGGAAGAGGCAGACUCAGAGGCUCCGGUGGGAUGGGGCCACCUCUCCUCACCAGCAAGGAGGUAAAGAGCAGAAGCUCGAAGUCCUCAGCUCACAUUCCACCCGGAACGGUGAAAAGGUGUUGCUAAGACUAACAGGAUGCAUCAGUGCUUGUCUUUUCCAGAAACCAACCAGCCACAUAAGAAAUCUUUAAUUAACAAACAUAUUUAUAAGAGUGGAAAAAAUCAGGCCACCAGAUGGGGAUAUCCCUGAGGACAGGGGCAGCAUCACUCAUCUCUGUCCCCUUGGCACCAGCACAGUUGAGGAGAUGCUCCACGUGUGUUUGUUGAGCAGAUCAGUGGGAGUGAAGCAACUGACCCGAGUUCUUCCCUGGCCGCCCGGGAGAAGAUGAUGGAGACAGCACGUAACAUUCUGUUCCUCUGCUUUGCUCAUCUCCAGGCUGUCGGGAUGAUGGAAAAAGUGCAUCUUACCCUGAAAUGCUGCCACAUGGGGAGGAAGGUGACUGCAGUCACAAGGGAUGUACAUUGGCUCUGAUCACAACAUGGCUGCAGGACGGAGAAGCUGCUCCCCAGGACGCCUGGCUCCCACUCCUUGCAGACCUGGGUUCAAGUUCAGCCUCCUCAGUUGCAAACCUGGGGCCUUCCUAUUCGGAGUCUCUCUGCUGCCCAUUUGGCAAGCAUUGAGUUAGUAAAAACAAACCCCCAGCAUUCUAAUGAGGAUUAAUGAGACUGUCAGCUCCAGGUGGACAGGUAGCUUGUGAAGGGCUGACAGAUUGCCACUUUCCUUGCCCUCCGUGAACAGUUGUUAGGGACGUGAAUGAACAAAUCACAUUAGCCCUGGGCCCACAAUAAAUUACACUGAUGUCAGUUUCUCCUUUCACUGCCAGGAAAAGUUUAGUUCAAUAAAUGUUUCCUAAGCCUUUGCUCUGGAUGUGCUCAACGAUGUGGGGGGUACAAAAGAGAAAACCACAUGAGCACCCCUCCAGACUCCAGGAUGAUCUGAACUCAAGUAAAACACAAGACAGGAUGAGCUAAGUAGACUAAGAAAAGGAGGCCAUGGGAGGCUGGCUUGAUGGGGGCAGGACCUGCUUGACCAGCUGGGAAAAGGGAGUGAGGAAAGAAGUCUUUCUGGAGGAGGCUGAAUGCCAGUGUGCACACAGAAGACGGUGUUAAGAGCAAUUGUGGGGUACACUUGGGUUUUAUUAGACCAAGGGAUCCAGGGUUGCCCAGGCCCCCCUACACAUGAGAGAUCAAAGAUGAUAUUAAUGGCUGGACUUGUACCCAAAACCUCCAAAUGGAAUUUGCUGGAGCUUUUUCGGAAGUUCUUAAGCCCAAAUUCAGAUUUUGGAAUCAUGUCACCAGCCAGCCAACCGUGUGGGACAAGAGACCAGAGUUGAAAGAACUUGAGCACGUGCCUGA
rnacentral:lncRNA from 1 species